rnacentral:piRNA from 1 species
UAUCGACAAUCCGAACGGCCCUCUUCU